GUGAUGAGCCUCACGGUAGGCGAAAAAUGAGCGCAACGCCCUUCACUGA
rnacentral:snoRNA from 1 species